AAUAGGAUUACUGGGUCAAAUGGUGGUUCCAUUUCAAGUUUUCUGAGGAAAAUCAUACUGCUUUCCAGAAUGGUUGAACCAAUUUACAGUCCCACCAGCAGU
rnacentral:pre_miRNA from 1 species